rnacentral:rRNA from 2 species
UACGUAGGGUGCAAGCGUUGUCCGGAUUUAUUGGGCGUAAAGAGCUCGUAGGCGGUUUGGCAAGUCGGGUGUGAAACCUCCAGGCUCAACCUGGAGUCGCCAUCCGAUACUGCUAUGACUUGAGUCUGGUAGGGGAUCACGGAAUUCCUGGUGUAGCGGUGAAAUGCAUAGAUAUCAGGAGGAACACCGGUGGCGAAGGCGGUGAUCUGGGCCAGUACUGACGCUGAGGAGCGAAAGCGUGGGGAGCGAACAGG